CUACUUGCUUGCUAGAAUGCAAACUGAAAUAAUGACAGCUUUCCAUUUAGUCUGGGACAUUCCAAAACAAAAUCACCAGCUUCUCAGAGAUACCUCUUGGAAGAGAAGGGCAGACUGAUUUCACCAUGGCCUCCCUUGCUGAAGAAAAUGCUAAAUUUGCCAUCGAUUUCCUCUAUCUCCUGAGCCAAAACCACCCAGAUGAAAACAUUAUGUUUUCUCCAGUGAAUCUUUAUGCGGCCCUGAGUUCUUUAAAUUAUGGUUCACAAUGUGACAAAAAAGUGAAGCCAGAAAAGGUGCUUCAUUGCAACAAAGGUAAAGAAUCAAUUAUUUCAGGAAACAAAUCCCUUUCUGAAACAUCAACAAGAGAUCAUACUUUGGGGAGCAAGCAGAGCAGAUAUCUCCCAAAAUUGC